rnacentral:lncRNA from 1 species
GUUCAAUCUUGCUUUAGGACCUACACAAGUGUAGUCCGGCUUGUGCCGCCUAGCUGCCUGUGGUAGCCCAUCAUUCCACGCUAGGAAUGAGUCUGUCCCACACGACCCUACAGGCGCCUCGCCGCCUAGCUGCCCGUGGUAGCUCAUCAUCCCACGCUGGAAUGAGGCUGUCCCACGCGACCCUACAGGCGUCUCAAUUCA